ensembl:rRNA 5S_rRNA 5S ribosomal RNA
GUCUAUGGCAAUUCCACCCUGAAAGCACCUGAUCUAGUCUGAUCUCACAGAAGCUAAGCAGGGUCAGGCCUGGUCAGUACUUGGACAGGAGAAGAGAACUGGUCCAUGUUGUUA